CUGGUUGAUCCUGCCAGACCCGACUGCUAUCGGAUUGGGACUAAGCCAUGCGAGUCAACUCCGCAAGGGGUGGCGCACGGCUCAGUAACACGUAGUCAACCUACCCUGGGGACGGGGAUAACCUCGGGAAACUGAGGCUAAACCCCGAUGGGCCAUGGCUCCUGGAAUGGGCUAUGGCUGAAAUCUACAUGGCCCCAGGAUGGGACUGCGGCCGAUCAGGUUGUUGGUGGGGUAAUGGCCCACCAAGCCUAUAACCGCUGCGGGCUCUGAGAGGAGGAGCCCGGAGAUGGGCACUGAGACAAGGGCCCAGGUCCUAUGGGGCGCAGCAGGCGCGAAACCUCCGCAAUGGGCGAAAGCCCGACGGGGUCAGUCCGAGUGGUUCCCGCUGAGGGAACCUUUUGCCAGCUGUAAACAGGCUGGCGAAUAAGGGGUGGGCAAGUUUGGUGUCAGCCGCCGCGGUAAUACCAGCACCCCGAGUGGUCGGGACGAUUAUUGGGCCUAAAGCAUCCGUAGCCGGCCCAGUAAGUCCUCCGUUAAAUCCAACGGCUCAACCGUUGGGCUGCGGGGGAUACUGCUGGGCUAGGGGACGGGAGAGGCGAGGGGUAUUCCCGGGGUAGGGGUAAAAUCCACUGAUCCCGGGAGGACCACCAGUGGCGAAGGCGCCUCGCUAGAACGUGCCCGACGGUGAGGGAUGAAAGCUGGGGGAGCGAACCGGAUUAGAUACCCGGGUAGUCCCAGCCGUAAACGAUGUAGGCUCGGUGUUGGGCUGCCUCAGUGGCAGCCCAGUGCCGCAGGGAAGCCGUUAAGCCUACCGCCUGGGGAGUACGGCCGCAAGGCUGAAACUUAAAGGAAUUGGCGGGGGAGCACCAC
rnacentral:rRNA from 1 species